UUGCUAUUGACUAAAACAAAAUACCUUAGGCAACAAAUUCGAAAAUCUGACAUCUAGGAAAUAAUGUCUUAGGCAGCAGUUUUACCACAAAUACAGACAAGUGAUACCACCACAACCACCAGAAAUACUUAAUUGUGUCUGCUUUACAUUGAAACGCAAGCUUAUUGCGACCGAUUCCCUGACAUAACACAUUCAUUGCGACCCAUUUAACAGAUGCAUCAUUUUAAGUUGGAACAGCAACAAAUAA